rnacentral:lncRNA from 1 species
GCCCGGUGUCACUGUGUUGCAUGGGGAUGACCUCAUGUUCCUUCCCAAAUGCCACAUUAUAACAGUGGCUUGGCCAUCAAGACACACACCUCUUCAGCAGAAUCGAAAUGGGACGCUCCGCACUGCAAGCCCAUCGCCACUCUCCUUUAAUGGAAACUUUGGUGCUCACCGAAGGCAGGCUUGGGCUCCAAGACUUAACACUGCAUUCAACACACCUGUUGUUAAAAGCACCUUGACACAUACACGCCAUUACCAACUUGCAUUGGACUUCAGGUAAGCAUGCAAAAUGCUGAUUUCAGAGAUGUUUUACAAAAUAGUUUGGAAUAUUCC